rnacentral:rRNA from 1 species
GACGAACGCUGGCGGCGUGCUUAACACAUGCAAGUCGAACGGAAAGGCCCUGCUUUUGUGGGGUGCUCGAGUGGCGAACGGGUGAGUAACACGUGAGUAACCUGCCCUUGACUUUGGGAUAACUUCAGGAAACUGGGGCUAAUACCGGAUAGGAGCUCCUGCUGCAUGGUGGGGGUUGGAAAGUUUCGGCGGUUGGGGAUGGACUCGCGGCUUAUCAGCUUGUCGGUGGGGUAGUGGCUUACCAAGGCUUUGACGGGUAGCCGGCCUGAGAGGGUGACCGGCCACAUUGGGACUGAGAUACGGCCCAGACUCCUACGGGAGGCAGCAGUGGGGAAUAUUGCACAAUGGGCGGAAGCCUGAUGCAGCAACGCCGCGUGCGGGAUGACGGCCUUCGGGUUGUAAACCGCUUUCGCCUGUGACGAAGCGUGAGUGACGGUAAUGGGUAAAGAAGCACCGGCGAACUACGU